rnacentral:rRNA from 1 species
AAUACGUUCCCGGGCCUUGUACACACCGCCCGUCAAGCCAUGAAAGCUGGGAGUAUUUAAAGUCGGUAGCCGCAAGGCGCCGCCUAGAGUAAAACCGGUGAUUGGGGCUAAGUCGUAACAAGGUACCC